AGUGAACGCUGGCGGUAGGCCUAACACAUGCAAGUCGAACGGCAGCACAGUAAGAGCUUGCUCUUACGGGUGGCGAGUGGCGGACGGGUGAGGAAUACAUCGGAAUCUACUUUUUCGUGGGGGAUAACGUAGGGAAACUUACGCUAAUACCGCAUACGACCUACGGGUGAAAGCAGGGGAUCUUCGGACCUUGCGCGAUUGAAUGAGCCGAUGUCGGAUUAGCUAGUUGGCGGGGUAAAGGCCCACCAAGGCGACGAUCCGUAGCUGGUCUGGGAGGAUGAUCAGCCACACUGGAACUGAGACACGGUCCAGACUCCUACGGGAGGCAGCAGUGGGGAAUAUUGGACAAUGGGCGCAAGCCUGAUCCAGCCAUACCGCGUGGGUGAAGAAGGCCUUCGGGUUGUAAAGCCCUUUUGUUGGGAAAGAAAAGCAGCAGGUUAAUACCCCGCUGUUCUGGCGGUACCCAAAGAAUAAGCACCGGCUAACUUCGUG
rnacentral:rRNA from 1 species